UGCGCGGAGUUCGAACACAUGCUGCAACUUGGCAUCAUCCGCCCUUCCUCCAGUAAUUGGGCAUCACCACUUCACAUGGUGCCUAAGAAGACGGGAGACUGGCGCCCAUGCGGUGAUUACCAGGCACUAAACAACGCUACAGUUCCUGAUCGCUACCCUCUCCCGAACAUUCAGGACUUCACGGUAGAGUUGCAUGGUGCGACAAUCUUUUCUAAGAUCGAGCUCGUUCGCCCCUAUCAUCAACUACCGGUCGCUGAAGAAGACAUUCCCAAGACCGCCAUCACCACACCCUUCGGUCUUUUUGAAUUUCUCCGCAUGCCUUUCGGCUUACGGAACGCGGGCCAGUCCUUUCAGCGUUUCAUCGAUUCCGUCACCCGAGGCCUGCCUUUCGUUUUUGCAUACAUUGACGACAUUCUCGUCACAAGCUCUUCUGCAGAAGAACAUCUUCACCACUUGCGGUUGUUAUUUUUGUGAAAAUAUGUGGAUGC
rnacentral:lncRNA from 1 species